ensembl:rRNA 5S_rRNA 5S ribosomal RNA
GCCUUCAGUCAUACACCCUGAACCUGCCCAAUCUCAUCUGACCUCGGAAGCUAAGUGGGGUUGGACCCGGUUAGUACUUGGAUGGGAGACAGUGGGUGUAUAAAUACCGCAGCUC